AAAUGAUUCUCACUGCUUACCUCAUUUCCAGUGCUCGGAGCAGAUCCUUGAACUUGCUCCAAAUCAGAGUCCAAGUUUCUUUGUUCCUCUCAAAAAUACAUGAUAAAAAUGUGGGCCUUGUAUGGAUUGAGGUUUCAAGCUCAUUUUGUAAGACUUGAGGUUCGGGCUCAUAUCGGGAAUUCUAGUUUUAUGGUGGAAUGGUUGUUUUAAAGGAGACAUUUUCUAAGGGUAAGGGAGGAAUUUAUGGCUGGAAUUGGUGUUUUAAAAGGUCUAGUGUUUAAAGGUAAGGGAAGCAUGUCAAAGAAUGAGUCCUCCUUAUCUUCUAGUACAAUCUCCCUCUAAAGAAAAGAGUGAUGAAAAUAGGAUCCGCUCUCAAUUAAAAGUGAUAUUAAGAUACAUAAAACUUUUUUGGUAGAUGGAUAAUAACGUUUGUAUUCUUUCUGUAUUGACGAGUAUCUCAUAAAGAUACAUUUGAUGACUCCAGGAUCAAGUUUUCCUCUUUGUUAUUGAUGUAUGUAAAAAUAAAUAACACACCUAAAAGCAU
rnacentral:lncRNA from 1 species